rnacentral:rRNA from 1 species
CGUGUAGGCGGUUUGGCAAGUCGAGUGUGAAAUCCCACGGGCUCAACCGUGGAACUGCGCUCGAAACUGCCUUACUUGAGUGCGGGAGAGGGUGUGCGGAAUUCCUGGUGUAGCGGUGGAAUGCGUAGAUAUCAGGAAGAACACCGGUGGCGAAGGCGGCACACUGGCCCAGCACUGACGCUGAGGCGCGAAAGCGUGGGGAGCGAACGG